rnacentral:rRNA from 1 species
UACGUAGGGAGCAAGCGUUGUCCGGAAUCAUUGGGCGUAAAGCGCGCGUAGGUGGCUUCGUAAGUCCGUUGUGAAAGUCAAAGGCUCAACCUUUGAAAGCCGAUGGAUACUGUGAAGCUAGAGUACGGAAGAGGCGAGUGGAAUUCCUGGUGUAGCGGUGGAAUGCGCAGAUAUCAGGAGGAACACCAAUGGCGAAGGCAGCUCACUGGGACGGUACUGACGCUGAGACGCGAAAGCGUGGGGAGCAAACAGG